GUUUUGUGCCAUAACACCCUGAAUGUGCCCAAUCUUGUCUGAUUUUGGAAGCUAACCAGGGUUGGGCCUGGUUAGUACUUGGAAGAGAGAAUGUCCCAUAACUCAGUGCUACAUGAAACU
rnacentral:rRNA from 1 species